rnacentral:rRNA from 1 species
ACGACUCUCGGCAACGGAUAUCUCGGCUCUCGCAUCGAUGAAGAACGUAGCGAAAUGCGAUACUUGGUGUGAAUUGCAGAAUCCCGUGAACCAUCGAGUCUUUGAACGCAAGUUGCGCCCGAAGCCAUCUGGCCGAGGGCACGUCUGC